rnacentral:rRNA from 1 species
CAGUGUGACUCGUCACACUAUCAUUAACUGAAUCCAUAGGUUAAUGAGGCGAACCGGGGGAACUGAAACAUCUAAGUACCCCGAGGAAAAGAAAUCAACCGAGAUUCCCCCAGUAGCGGCGAGCGAACGGGGAGGAGCCCAGAGCCUGAAUCAGCAUGUGUGUUAGUGGAAGCGUCUGGAAAGGCGCGCGAUACAGGGUGACAGCCCCGUACACAAAAGCGCAUGUGCUGUGAGCUCGAUGAGUAGGGCGGGACACGUGGUAUCCUGUCUGAAUAUGGGGGGACCAUCCUCCAAGGCUAAAUACUCCUGACUGACCGAUAGUGAACCAGUACCGUGAGGGAAAGGCGAAAAGAACCCCGGCGAGGGGAGUGAAAAAGAACCUGAAACCGUGUACGUACAAGCAGUGGGAGCACCCUUUGGGUGUGACUGCGUACCUUUUGUAUAAUGGGUCAGCGACUUAUAUUCUGUAGCAAGGUUAACCGAAUAGGGGAGCCGGAGGGAAACCGAGUCUUAACCGGGCGUUAAGUUGCAGGGUAUAGACCCGAAACCCGGUGAUCUAGCCAUGGGCAGGUUGAAGGUUGGGUAACACUAACUGGAGGACCGAACCGACUAAUGUUGAAAAAUUAGCGGAUGACCUGUGGCUGGGGGUGAAAGGCCAAUCAAACCGGGAGAUAGCUGGUUCUCCCCGAAAGCUAUUUAGGUAGCGCCUCGUGAAUUCAUCUCCGGGGGUAGAGCACUGUUUCGGCUAGGGGGCCAUCCCGGCUUACCAACCCGAUGCAAACUGCGAAUACCGGAGAAUGUUAUCACGGGAGACACACGGCGGGUGCUAACGUCCGUCGUGAAGAGGGAAACAACCCAGACCGCCAGCUAAGGUCCCAAAGUCAUGGUUAAGUGGGAAACGAUGUGGGAAGGCCCAGACAGCCAGGAUGUUGGCUUAGAAGCAGCCAUCAUUUAAAGAAAGCGUAAUAGCUCACUGGUCGAGUCGGCCUGCGCGGAAGAUGUAACGGGGCUAAACCAUGCACCGAAGCUGCGGCAGCGACACUGUGUGUUGUUGGGUA